rnacentral:rRNA from 1 species
CGCCUUGCCAGCCCGCUCAGAAACUCAAAGGAAUUGACGGGGGCCCGCACAAGCGGAGGAGCAUGUGGUUUAAUUCGAUGAUACGCGAGGAACCUUACCUGGGCUCGAACGUAAGAUGACUGUAGGUGAAAGCUUACAUCUCUUCGGAGCAUUUUACGAGGUGCUGCAUGGUUGUCGUCAGCUCGUGCCGUGAGGUGUCGGGUUAAGUCCCAUAACGAGCGCAACCCCUACCUUUAGUUGCCAUCAGGUAAUGCUGGGGACUCUAAAGGAACCGCCUACGCAAGUAGUGAGGAAGGCGGGGAUGACGUCAAAUCAGCACGGCCCUUACGUCCAGGGCUACACACGUGCUACAAUGGCCGGUACAAAGGGCAGCUACCUGGUGACAGGAUGCUAAUCUCAAAAGCCGGUCUCAGUUCGGAUCGGAGUCUGCAACCCGACUCCGUGAAGUUGGAUUCGCUAGUAAUCGCGCAUCAGCCAUGGCGCGGUGAAUACGUUCCCGGGCCUU